AUCUAAGUGUUCAUAUCAAUUGAAAGGAUAUUGCUAUUAUUGUAAAAAAAAUUUGAAUAAGAGAUGACACAACCAAUAGUUCAAGAAAGCAUGGAUCAAUUGCUGUCCAGCUUGACGAGACAUGUCAGAGUAUUUCUUAGGAACAUUUCCGAGCAUAACGAACGUGCGAAAAAUGAAGACGGUUUGGCGGCUAUACCGAUCGAUGACGUUCUCAAGAUAUAUUUGACCGAGAGUAUUGUCGCUUUUUGCCAAAAUUCGAUGGGAGAGCGACAGAGAUUAAACGCGUACGAAAGAGGAUUGAACUCCAAUGAUGACGCACCACCUGAGUAAGCACCCGCGGCCGGCUUUGACAUCAAUGACCCAAACAAGUUUCAUAACAAAUUAAAAAUAAGUGAAAAGAAUUGAGUUUUGCGCUCCAAAUAAAACACAAUUCGAUAUUGAGUGUAUUCGAAUUAUGCGAAAAUAUAUUUCAGAAUUUAUUUCUCGCUCAUAAAGAAA